ACUCUUUAUCAUUCUUCGGCAGUCCUGGCUAGCUGGGGAUGUCCCGGUUGACUGGAGAGUGGCAAAUGUGAUGGCCAUCUUCACAAAGGGCUGGAAAGAUGAUCCUGAUAGCUACAGAUCUAUCAGUCUCACCUCGGUGCCUGGGAAGGUUAUGGAACAGAUAAUCUCAGGAGCCAUCAUGGACCAGUUAAAGGUCAACCACGGGGUCAGGCCCAGUCAGCAUGGGUUUAUGAAUGGUAGAUCCUGUCUGACAAACCUGAUUUCAUUCUAUGACAAGAUGACCCGCUUAGUGGAUGAGGGUCAGGCUGUCAAUGUGGUCUACCUGGACUUCAGUAAGGCCUUUGACGCUGUCCGCCAUAACAUUCUCGUGGAGAAGCUGGCUGCCCACAGUCUGGAUGGGUGUACACUCCGCUGGGAGAAGCUGUGGCUGGAUGGCCAGGCCCAAAGAGUUGUGGUCAAUGGAGUUAAAUCCAGUUGGUGGCUGGUCACGAGCGGUGUCCCCCAAGGUUCAGUGCUGUGACCGCUUCUGUUUAACAUCUUCAUUGAUGAUCUUGAUGAGGGGAUUGAGUGCACGCUCAGUAAGUUUGCAGACGACACCGAGCAGGGAGGGAGUGUUGAUCUGCCUGAGGGGAGAAGGGCACUACGGAGGGACAUGGAUAGACUGGAUUGAUGGGCCAAGGUUAACUGUAUGAGUUUCAAUAGGGCCAAGUGUCAGGUCCGGCAUUUUGGUCACAACAACCCCUGGCAACCCUACAGGCUUGGGGAGGAGUGGCUGGAAAGCUGCCUGAUGGACAGGGACCUUGGUGUACUGUUGGACAGUCAGCUGAAUAUGAGCCAGCAGUGUGCCCAGGUGGCCAAGCAGGCCAAUGGCAUCCUGGUUUGUAUCAGGAAUGGUGUGGUGAGCAGGACUAGGGAAGUAAUCAUGCCCCUGUACUCAGCACUGGUGAGGCCCCACCUUGAGUACUGUGUUCAGUUUUGGGCACCUCAGUACAGAAAGGACGUGGAGGUGCUGGAGCAGGUCCAAAGAAG
ensembl:lncRNA